AAAGCCUGACGGAGCAAUACCGCGUGAGGGAGGAAGGCUCUUGGGUUGUAAACCUCUUUUCUCAGGGAAGAAAACUGACGGUACCUGAGGAAUCAGCAUCGGCUAACUCCGUGCCAGCAGCCGCGGUAAUACGGAGGAUGCAAGCGUUAUCCGGAAUGAUUGGGCGUAAAGGGUCCGUAGGUGGCACUUCAAGUCUACUGUUAAAGCGUGCAGCUCAACUGCAUAAGGGCGGUGGAAACUGAAGAGCUAGAGAGAGGUAGGGGUAGAGGGAAUUCCCAGUGUAGCGGUGAAAUGCGUAGAGAUUGGGAAGAACACCGGUGGCGAAAG
rnacentral:rRNA from 1 species